UAUCUGGUUGAUUCUGCCAGUAGUCAUAUGCUUGUCUCAAAGAUUAAGCCAUGCAUGUCUAAGUAUAAGCACUUUAUACUGUGAAACUGCGAAUGGCUCAUUAAAUCAGUUAUCGUUUAUUUGAUAGUACCUUACUACAUGGAUACCUGUGGUAAUUCUAGAGCUAAUACAUUGCUGAAAACCUCGACUUCGGAAGGGGUGUAUUUAUUAGAUAAAAAACCAAUGCCCUUCGGGGCUCCUUGGUGAAUCAUAAUAACUU
rnacentral:ncRNA from 1 species